CUCUUUCUAAUAAAGAGGGGUCAUGACGGUACCGUAAGAAUAAGCACCGGCUAACUACGUGCCAGCAGCCGCGGUAAUACGUAGGGUGCAAGCGUUAAUCGGAAUUACUGGGCGUAAAGCGUGCGCAGGCGGUUUUGUAAGACAGAGGUGAAAUCCCCGGGCUCAACCUGGGAACUGCCUUUGUGACUGCAAGGCUGGAGUGCGGCAGAGGGGGAUGGAAUUCCGCGUGUAGCAGUGAAAUGCGUAGAUAUGCGGAGGAACACCGAUGGCGAAGGCAAUCCCCUGGGCCUGCACUGACGCUCAUGCACGAAAGCGUGGGGAGCAAACAGGAUU
rnacentral:rRNA from 1 species